rnacentral:rRNA from 1 species
UACGUAGGGUGCAAGCGUUGUCCGGAAUCAUUGGGCGUAAAGAGCUCGUAGGCGGUCUGUCGCGUCGGAUGUGAAAACCCGGGGCUCAACCCCGGGCGUGCAUUCGAUACUGCGCGGCUCGAGACAGGUAGGGGAGAUCGGAAUUCCUGGUGUAGCGGUGAAAUGCGCAGAUAUCAGGAGGAACACCGGUGGCGAAGGCGGAUCUCUGGGCCUGUUCUGACGCUGAGGCGCGAAAGCUAGGGGAGCGAACAGG